AGCAGCCGCCACGGGAAUACGAAGGGGGUUAGCGUUGUUCGGAUUUACUGGGCGUAAAGCGCACGUAGGCGGAUCCUUAAGUCAGAGGUGAAAUCCCAAGGCUCAACCUUGGAACUGCCUUUGAUACUGGGGAUCUCGAGUUCGGGAGAGGUGAGUGGAACUGCGAGUGUAGAGGUGAAAUUCGUAGAUAUUCGCAAGAACACCAGUGGCGAAGGCGGCUCACUGGCCCGAUACUGACGCUGAGGUGCGAAAGCGUGGGGAGCAAACAGGAUUAGAUACCCGCGUAGUCCCUGUCUCUUAUAC
rnacentral:rRNA from 1 species